GAUGAACGCUAGCGGCAGGCCUAAUACAUGCAAGUCGAACGGGAUCCAGAUCAAAGCUUGCUUUGGUCUGGUGAGAGUGGCGCACGGGUGCGUAACGCGUGAGCAACCUACCCUUGUCAGGGGGAUAGCCCGGCGAAAGUCGGAUUAAUACCGCAUGACAUCAUUGAGAGGCAUCUUUCGAUGAUCAAAGAUUUAUCGGACAAGGAUGGGCUCGCGUGACAUUAGCUAGUUGGUAAGGUAACGGCUUACCAAGGCUGCGAUGUCUAGGGGCUCUGAGAGGAGAAUCCCCCACACUGGUACCGAGACACGGACCAGACUCCUACGGGAGGCAGCAGUAAGGAAUAUUGGUCAAUGGACGGAAGUCUGAACCAGCCAUGCCGCGUGCAGGAGGACGGCCCUAUGGGUUGCAAACUGCUUUUAUACGGGAACAAACGUCGGUACGUGUACCGGUCUGAGUGUACCGUAAGAAUAAGGAUCGGCUAACUCCGUG
rnacentral:rRNA from 1 species